rnacentral:rRNA from 1 species
GUAGGUGGCAAGUGUUGUCCGGAAUUAUUGGGCGUAAAGCGCGCGCAGGCGGUUCUUUAAGUCUGAUGUGAAAGCCCACGGCUCAACCGUGGAGGGUCAUUGGAAACUGGAGAACUUGAGUACAGAAGAGGAAAGCGGAAUUCCACGUGUAGCGGUGAAAUGCGUAGAGAUGUGGAGGAACACCAGUGGCGAAGGCGGCUUUCUGGUCUGUAACUGACGCUGAGGCGCGAAAGCGUGGGGAGCAAACAGGAUUAGAUACCCUGGUAGUCCACGCCGUAAACGAUGAGUGCUAAGUGUUAGGGGGGUUUCCGCCCCCCUUAGUGCUGCAGCUAACGCAUUAAGCACUCCGCCUGGGAGUACGGUCCGCAAGGCUG